rnacentral:rRNA from 1 species
AACGAACGCUGGCGGCAGGCCUAACACAUGCAAGUCGAGCGGACCCUUCGGGGUUAGCGGCGGACGGGUGAGUAACGCGUGGGAAUAUGCCCUUCUCUACGGAAUAGUCCUGGGAAACUGGGGGUAAUACCGUAUACGCCCUUUGGGGGAAAGAUUUAUCGGGGAAGGAUUAGCCCGCGUUGGAUUAGGUAGUUGGUGGGGUAAUGGUCUACCAAGCCGACGAUCCAUAGCUGGUUUGAGAGGAUGAUCAGCCACACUGGGACUGAGACACGGCCCAGACUCCUACGGGAGGCAGCAGUGGGGAAUCUUAGACAAUGGGGGCAACCCUGAUCGAGCCAUGCCGCGUGAGUGAUGAAGGCCUUAGGGUUGUAAAGCUCUUUCAGCUGGGAAGAUAAUGACGGUACCAGCAGAAGAAGCCCCGGCUAACUCCGUG